rnacentral:rRNA from 1 species
GAUGAACGCUAGCGGCAGGCUUAAUACAUGCAAGUCGAGGGGUAGCAAGAUUGUAGCAAUACAAUUGUUGACGACCGGCAAACGGGUGCGGAACACGUACACAACCUUCCUAUAAGUGGGGAAUAGCCCAGAGAAAUUUGGAUUAAUACCCCGUAACAUAAUGAUGUGGCAUCACAUUAUUAUCAUAGCUACGGCGCUUACUGAUGGGUGUGCGGCUGAUUAGAUAGUUGGCGGGGUAACGGCCCACCAAGUCUACGAUCAGUAGCUGAUGUGAGAGCAUGAUCAGCCACACGGGCACUGAGACACAGGCCCGACUCCUACGGGAGGCAGCAGUAAGGAAUAUUGGUCAAUGGACGCAAGUCUGAACCAGCCAUGCCGCGUGAAGGAUUAAGGUCCUCUGGAUUGUAAACUUCUUUUAUCUGGGACGAAAAAAGGCGAUUCUUCGUCACUUGACGGUACCAGAUGAAUAAGCACCGGCUAACUCCGUGCCAGCAGCCGCCGUAAGAC